rnacentral:rRNA from 1 species
ACUCAAAUGAAUAGACGGGGCCCCGCACAAGCGGUGGAGCAUGUGGUUUAAUUCGAUGCAACGCGAAGAACCUUACCAAGGCUUGACAUGGUAUCGCAAGCCGUAGAGAUACGGCCCUCCUUCGGGACGGUACACACAGGUGGUGCAUGGUUGUCGUCAGCUCGUGUCGUGAGAUGUUGGGUUAAGUCCCGCAACGAGCGCAACCCUUAUCCUUAGUAGCUAACGGGUGAUGCCGAGCACUUUAGGGAGACUGCCGUGAAUAACACGGAGGAAGGCGGGGACGAGGUCAAAUCAUCAUGCCCUUUAUGUCUUGGGCUACACACGUGCUACAAUGGUCGGUACAGAGCGAAGCGAAGCAGUGAUGCGGAGCAAAGCGCAAAAAGCCGGCCCCAGUUCGGAUUACAGUCUGCAACCCGACUGUAUGAAGCUGGAAUCGCUAGUAAUCGCAAAUCAGCAUGUUGCGGUGAAUACGUUCCCGGGGCUUGUACACACCGCCCGU